rnacentral:rRNA from 1 species
AUUGAACGCUGGCGGCAGGCCUAACACAUGCAAGUCGAGCGGCAGCGGGAAAGUAGCUUGCUACUUUUGCCGGCGAGCGGCGGACGGGUGAGUAAUGCCUGGGAAAUUGCCCAGUCGAGGGGGAUAACAGUUGGAAACGACUGCUAAUACCGCAUGCGCCCUACGGGGGAAAGCAGGGGACCUUCGGGCCUUGCGCGAUUGGAUAUGCCCAGGUGGGAUUAGCUAGUUGGUGAGGUAAUGGCUCACCAAGGCGACGAUCCCUAGCUGGUCUGGGAGGAUGAUCAGCCACACUGGAACUGAGACACGGUCCAGACUCCUACGGGAGGCAGCAGUGGGGAAUAUUGCACAAUGGGGGAAACCCUGAUGCAGCCAUGCCGCGUGUGUGAAGAAGGCCUUCGGGUUGUAAAGCACUUUCAGCGAGGAGGAAAGGUUGAUGCCUAAUACGUAUCAACUGUGACGUUACUCGCAGAAGAAGCACCGGCUAACUCCGUGCCAGCCGCCGCCGUAAAAC